GAUGAACGCUGGCGGCGUGCCUAAUACAUGCAAGUCGAGCGAACAGACGAGGAGCUUGCUCCUCUGACGUUAGCGGCGGACGGGUGAGUAACACGUGGAUAACCUACCUAUAAGACUGGGAUAACUUCGGGAAACCGGAGCUAAUACCGGAUAAUAUAUUGAACCGCAUGGUUCAAUAGUGAAAGACGGUUUUGCUGUCACUUAUAGAUGGAUCCGCGCCGCAUUAGCUAGUUGGUAAGGUAACGGCUUACCAAGGCAACGAUGCGUAGCCGACCUGAGAGGGUGAUCGGCCACACUGGAACUGAGACACGGUCCAGACUCCUACGGGAGGCCGCAGUAGGGAAUCUUCCGCAAUGGGCGAAAGCCUGACGGAGCAACGCCGCGUGAGUGAUGAAGGUCUUCGGAUCGUAAAACUCUGUUAUUAGGGAAGAACAAAUGUGUAAGUAACUAUGCACGUCUUGACGGUACCUGAUCAGAAAGCCACGGCUAACUACGUG
rnacentral:rRNA from 1 species